GCCGCACCUCGCCGGGUCGGGCGGUCGCGUCGGCGCCGCGGUACUGGGUGGCCUCGCGGGUCAACCGCAGGUACGCGUCCUCCAGCGUGGCGC
rnacentral:tRNA from 1 species